CACAUAUAUACAUAUAUAUAUAUAUAUAUAUAAAUAUAUAUAUAUAUAUAUCUUUUAAUUGGGGUAGCCCCCAAAAUAUUGGGACAUAUAAAAAAGACAACUCUGUUCCGCAGAGUAGCUGUUGAUAUUAUAGUUGCGCAGGAACUUUGUUGACUUUAGAGAACCCGGGCAAAUCGCACAUCCCAGUUGGCGGCAAAUUUGCAUGUGGAUGUCAUCCAUAUCAUCUUUCGAUGCCAGUUUCUGCGCCUACCAUGGUGACCACGGGUAAUGGGGAAUCAGGGUUCCAUUCCGUACAGGGACCCUGAGAAACAGCUACCACAUGCAAGAAAGGCAGCAGGCGAGCAAAUGACCCACUCCCGACGUGGGAAGGUAGUGACG